AGCAGCCGCGGUAAUUCCAGCUCCAAUAGCGUAUAUUAAAGUUGUUGCAGUUAAAAAGCUCGUAGUUGAACUUCGGGGUUCACCCAUUGGUCAGGCUUAAUUGUCUGCACUGGUGAGAUGAGUCUCUACCUUCUGAGGAACUUUCAUGCCAUUUAUUUGGUGUGGUUGGAAAUCAGGACUGUUACUUUGAAAAAAUUAGAGUGUUUAAAGCAGGCUAACGUCUGAAUACAUUAGCAUGGAAUAGUGAAAUAGGACGGACUGAUUCUAUUUCGUUGGUUUCUAGGAUCACCGUAAUGAUUAAUAGGGAUAGUUGGGGGCAUUAGUAUUCAAUUGUCAGAGGUGAAAUUCUUGGAUUUAUUGAAGACUAACUACUGCGAAAGCAUUUGCCAAGGAUGUUUUCAUUAAUCAAGAACGAAAGUUAAGGGGUAGUCGAAGACGAUCAGAUACCGUCGUAGUCUUAACCAUAAACUAUGCCGACUAGGGAUCGGACGAAGUUAAUUUUAAUAAUGUACGACGUUCG
rnacentral:rRNA from 1 species